rnacentral:sRNA from 1 species
AAAUAUUAAAUAAGAAAUUUAUUAAAAAUUAAUAUUAUUAAAAGAGGGUAUAUUUGUCAUUUGUUUUUUGGACUAAAUCAUCUCCAUCCAAAUGGUUCUACCAAGUCCAUCCAAAUGAGUUUCACAAAUUAGCCUAAAUUUACAAAGUCAUUCACAUGGAACAUCCAAAUGAUUCAUCUAAAUGAUCUGUUAAUUUGUAAAAAACAAACAUCAUUUUUCAUCUCCAUCUAGAUGAUCCAUAUGGAUGGAGAAACAAACAAGGCCUAGUAACUUUUUGGAUUUGAGCUCUCACUUUUUAUUUUUGUCAAUAUCUUUUAGAUUUCGAUUAUGUUUUCAUGGA